GACGAACGCUGGCGGCGUGCUUAACACAUGCAAGUCGAACGGAAAGGCCCUGCUUUUGUGGGGUGCUCGAGUGGCGAACGGGUGAGUAACACGUGAGUAACCUGCUCUUGACUUUGGGAUAACUUCAGGAAACUGGGGCUAAUAUCGGAUAGGAUCUCCUGCUGCAUGGUGGGGGUUGGAUAGUUUCGGCUGUUGGGGCUGGACUCGCGGCUUAUCAGCUUGUUGGUGGGGGAGUGGCUUACCAAGGCUUUGACGGGUAGCCGGCCUGAGAGGGUGAACGGCGACAUUGGGACUGAGAUACGGCCCAGAGUGCUACGGGAGGCAGCAGUGGGGAAUAUUGCACAGUGGGAGGAAGCCUGAGGCAGCAACGCCGCGUGCGGGAUGACGGCCUUCUGGUUGUAAAACGCUUUAGCCUGUGACGAAGCGUGAGUGACGGUAAUGGGUAAAGAAGCACCGGCUAACUACGUG
rnacentral:rRNA from 1 species